rnacentral:rRNA from 1 species
GCAAUAGCUAAACGCACUAUUUUAUAGUGUAGUAUCGACCCUGUCGAAUAAAAUUCUAGGUAGAGUUAUGAUAAUGACAUUAUCUAUCUAUGUGUCUUGACCAAAUUACGUGCCAGCAGUCGCGGUAAUACGUAAAAGACUAGUGUUAUUCAUGAUUAAUAGGUUUAAAGAGUACCUAGACGGUUAAUGAAGCCCCUAAAGGGUACAUAUUAACUAGAGUUAUAUGAAAGGGAGCUUUGAGGUACUGUUGAGUGUAGAGAUGAAAUUCGUUAAUACCAGAUAAGUGGCACGGAUCUAUGCGAAGGCAUCUCCUUAUGUAAUAACUGACGUUGAAGGACGAAGGCUUUUGAAGUGAAGAGGAUUAGAUACCCUAGUAAUCCAAGCAGAAAAUGAUGAAUGUCAUAGGUUGAAUAAUAUAUUUGGUCUAUAAAUGAAAGUGUAAGCAUUCCACCUCAAGAGUAAUUUGGCAACAUUGAAACUGAAAUCAUUAGACCGUAUCUGAAACCAGUAGUGAAGUAUGUUGUUUAAUUAGACGGUCCGCAAAAAACCUUACCACAAUUUGAAUAUAUAUUUUAAUUAAUAUUUACAAGCGUUGCACGGCUGUCUUCAGUUAAUGUCGUGAGAUUUUGGUUAGUUCCAUU